rnacentral:rRNA from 1 species
GCAAGUCGAACGAUCCUUCGGGAUAGUGGCAGACGGGUGAGUAACGCGUGGGAAUCUACCAUAUUCUACGGAACAACAGUUAGAAAUGACUGCUAAUACCGUAUACGCCCUCCGGGGGAAAGAUUUAUCGGAGUAUGAUGAGCCCGCGUUUGAUUAGCUAGUUGGUGAGGUAAUGGCUCACCAAGGCUACGAUCAAUAGCUGGUCUGAGAGGAUGAUC